UACGGAGGGUGCAAGCGUUAAUCGGAAUUACUGGGCGUAAAGCGUCCGCAGGUGGCAGUUCAAGUCUGCUGUCAAAGACCGGGGCUUAACUUCGGAAAGGCAGUGGAAACUGAACAGCUAGAGUAUGGUAGGGGCAGAGGGAAUUCCUGGUGUAGCGGUGAAAUGCGUAGAGAUCAGGAAGAACAUCGGUGGCGAAGGCGCUCUGCUGGACCAUAACUGACACUCAGGGACGAAAGCUAGGGGAGCGAAUGGG
rnacentral:rRNA from 1 species